rnacentral:lncRNA from 1 species
GCACGGGGUAGGGGUGGGGGGCGGAGGGCGAGUCUUGGUCUUGAGCUGCUGGGGCGCGGAUUCUCUUUCAAAGCCAGAACCAGGCCUGUCCCGGACCCGCGUCCCGGGGAGGCUGCAGCGCAGAGCAGCGGGGCUGGGGCCGGUGGGGGGCCGUUUGGGACGCGCGGAGAGGUCCUGAGCGCGGUGGCUCUGCGUCUCCUAGCUCUGAUCUCCAGGCUACCCCUGUGAUUCCGCGCAGAGGUACCUCUCGGAGGACGCCGGGGUCCCAUGGGCGGCGCCGCGCAGGGCGCUAGGACCCCGCGGGGAGCGGAGGCGGCCUCGGCCCGGGAGCCUGGAGGACCUGGCCGGUCGAUCCGCCCGGGCUGGAAAACUUUCUUUAUAAUUACUUCUCCAGGUCGGAGCGCGCGGCUUGCUAGGCGCGCGGGGCCGGCGCUGUUACCCGGCGUGGAGUCGCCGAUUUUUUUUCCUGCGGGACCGCGGGGCCCCCCAGACUAGCGGAGCUGGACGCCGGGGCGAGCACGGGGAGGGGCGCACCGAGGGAGGAGACAAACUUAACUCUGGGGCCGGGAUUCCGAGGCGGGGGCCGCAGCCCUCGAGGCCCGAAGCCACCGCUUCCUCCCCCGCCUCCCCAUUCAGGAACAAAGAAACGCCACUGUACAUGCACGGUUCCCGGCCUGUGGAGUUGUGGGAGGAAGGCGAUGUCUGGCCUUUUUUGCACAGCUGCUGUUGCCUGCCCAGAGAUCGGGAACUCUGCCCCGUAGGACUGGAAGAAACCUCAGUAAUGGGAAUAAGACUUUGUCCAAUAGGGGGCUGAUGAAUGUGUGGGGGCGACAAUGGCAAGGAGUGGGACUCCCGGCCCGGGGUUCGCCAACCCCAGGGGCCACAGGUCCUCCUACAAUUGAACCAGAAUUCACCCACCCGGGCCUGCCCUGUGCAGGGUGCCGAGAGCCCAGGGAUGCAUGAGAGGGUGGCUCCUGCCUCUGGGAACUGGGACAGUGGGAGAGACGGAUAAGUUGUCACACAGAGGCUGCUGGGAGGAAGGAGGAGACAGAAGGAGUAGGGGAUGGGACUUCAUUCAUUCAUCAAAUGCACACGAGGCACAAAUGGGAAUCAAGGGUGGAUGUGCUGUGAUGAAGAGAAGUCCUGCCCUGAACAAGGUGGCGCUGUGGAGGAGGCAGAGAUCAGAUUUGUCUGCGGAGGUGUUAUGGACUGAACUGUGUCCCUGCCCCAAAUUCCUAUGUUGAAGGCCUAACCCCCAUGUGACUGUAUUUGGAGAUAAGGCUUUUAGGAAGUCAUUAAAGUGAGAUGAUGUCAUAUGGGUAGGGUCCUAAUUUGAUAGGAUUGGUGGCCUUAUCAGAAGAACAAUGUCAUGGGCAUGCACAGAAAGGAGGUGGCCGUCUGCAAGCAGGGAAGAGGCCCCUCACCAGAACCUGAGGGUGCUGGCAGCUUGGCUUUGGCCUUGGGCAUCCAGCCUCCAGAACCAUGAGAAAUAAAUGUUUAUGGUAGGUCUAUGAUGGCAGCCUGCUUGGACUGAACCGGCGGUGAGACAGGGCUUCAUGCAGGAGCAGACCUUUGAGCUGGGCCUUGAAAGUUGAGCAGGAAUUUGCUGGAAGGAUAAGGGAGGAAGGCUCUUCUAGGAGGAGGGAAUGGUAAGUGCAAAGGUGGAGAGCCUGCCAGUGCAUGUGUUCUGGUAACAAAGAACGAGAUGGUUGGCCGGCUGGAGAGUGGGGUGAGGGAGGGUGGGGCCUAGAUAAGGCUGGAUCCGCAGACAGGGCUGGGCUGAUGGCCAAGGCCACUGCAGGUGAAGGGGGAACCCUUAUCUCCCAGGCUUUUGACCUCCAGAUUUUAGCAGGGGAGCUUCGUUGUCGGAUUUGGGUUCCUGAGAAUCUACUCUGGCCAAGACGGAGAGGGGGUGUUGACCAGAUGGGAAAGGAUGGAGACUUGUAUUGCCCCAGUAAUGAGCGGGCAGGGUAGAUUAGAACAAGAUGUCAGGACUUGGGGGCUGAAUGCCAGGCUUCUGGCUGGGAUUACCACCCCCUGACACAUAUAAUGCCCAG